rnacentral:pre_miRNA from 1 species
GGGCCGGGCCCCAGGAGCGGGGCCUGGGCAGCCCCGUGUGUUGAGGAAGGAAGGCAGGGCCCCCGCUCCCCGGGCCCGCCCCAC